rnacentral:rRNA from 1 species
UACGUAGGUGGCAAGCGUUGUCCGGAUUUACUGGGCGUAAAGAGCGCGCAGGCGGUCGUUCAAGUCGCGUGUGAAAGCCCCCGGCUCAACUGGGGAGGGUCACGCGAUACUGAUCGACUGGAAGGCAGGAGAGGGUAGUGGAAUUCCCGGUGUAGUGGUGAAAUGCGUAGAUAUCGGGAGGAAUACCAGUGGCGAAGGCGACUACCUGGCCUGUUCUUGACGCUGAGGCGCGAAAGCUAGGGGAGCAAACAGG